rnacentral:rRNA from 1 species
CGCGUAGGCGGGAUGGCAAGUCGGUCGUGAAAUCCCUCGGCUCAACUGAGGAUCGUCGAUCGAUACUGCCGUUCUUGAGGAUUUGCAGAGGAGACUGGAAUUCCCGGUGUAGCGGUGAAAUGUGUAGAGAUCGGGAGGAACACCGGUGGCGAAGGCGGGUCUCUGGGCAAUUCCUGACGCUGAGGCGCGAAAGCGUGGGAGCAAACG